rnacentral:rRNA from 1 species
GAUGAACGCUGGCGGCGUGCCUAAUACAUGCAAGUCGAGCGAACAGACGAGGAGCUUGCUCCUCUGACGUUAGCGGCGGACGGGUGAGUAACACGUGGAUAACCUACCUAUAAGACUGGGAUAACUUCGGGAACCCGGAGUUAAACCCGGAAAAUUAAUUGACCCGCUUGGUUAAUUAGUGAAAGCGGGUUUUGCUUUACCUUUUAGAUGGAUCCGCGCCGCAUUAGCUAGUUGGUAAGGUAACGGCUUACCAAGGCAACGAUGCGUAGCCGACCUGAGAGGGUGAUCGGCCACACUGGAACUGAGACACGGUCCAGACUCCUACGGGAGGCAGCAGUAGGGAAUCUUCCGCAAUGGGCGAAAGCUUGACGGAGCAACGCCGCGUGAGUGAUGAAGGUCUUCGGAUCGUAAAACUCUGUUAUUAGGGAAGAACAAAUGUGUAAGUAACUAUGCACGUCUUGACGGUACCUAAUCAGAAAGCCACGGCUAACUACGUG